AGCGAACGCUGGCGGCAUGCCUAACACAUGCAAGUCGAGCGCUCCCAGCAAUGGGGGAGCGGCGGACGGGUGAGUAACGCGUAGGAACGUAUCCUGAGGUGGGGGAUAACCCUGGGAAACUAGGGCUAAUACCGCAUGAUGGCGAGAGCCCAAAGAUUUAUCGCCUUGGGAGCGGCCUGCGUCUGAUUAGCUUGUUGGUGGGGUAACGGCCCACCAAGGCAACGAUGGAUAGGGGGAACUGAGAGGUUUAUCCCCCACACUGGUACUGAGACACGGACCAGACUCCUACGGGAGGCAGCAGUGAGGAAUAUUGGUCAAUGGACGCAAGUCUGAACCAGCCACGUCGCGUGAAGGAAGACGGCCCUACGGGUUGUAAAGCUCUUUCGGCCGGGAAGAAAUCGCAUUCUCUAACAUAGGAUGUGGAUGACGGUACCGGACUAAGAAGCACCGGCUAACUACGUG
rnacentral:rRNA from 1 species